rnacentral:rRNA from 1 species
CAAUAGCGUAUAUUAAAGUUGUUGCAGUUAAAAAGCUCGUAGUUGAAUUUUUGCUUGCCGCCGAUGUCGGAACUUCCGUACGUUCGGCGGCGUGCAUCCUUGGGUGGAACCUGUGUGGCAUUAGGUUGUCGUGCAGGGGAUGUUCAUCGUUUACUGUGAAAAAAUUAGAGUGUUCAAAGCAGGCUUACGCCGUUGAAUAUAUUAGCAUGGAAUAAUAAGAUAGGACCUUGGUACUAUUUUGUUGGUUUGCGCACCGAGGUAAUGAUUAACAGGGACAGUUGGGGGUAUUCGUAUUCCAUUGUCAGAGGUGAAAUUCUUGGAUUUCUGGAAGACGAACUACUGCGAAAGCAUUUACCAAGGAUGUUUNCAUUAA